rnacentral:tRNA from 1 species
GCUUUUUAAGUUCUUUUAGAAUUUUACUUUGAAGGGGUUAGGGGUUGUGAAAGCG